UUUCCAGAAACUCUGUGCAAAGAACAGAGGCAAGCCUCCAGCCAGGAGCUCAUGAAAUCAUGAACUGAGGCCUCAGUGCAAUAGCUCAUGAGGAACUGAAUUAUUUCAACAGCCAGUUCUGGAAGUUGGAAGUACAAGAUCAGAUUGCCAGCAUCAUCAGGUACUCAUGAGGGCCGUCUUCCAGCUUGCAGACUGCCAACUUCUCAUUGUGUCCUCAGGUGAGGAAAAUUUGGCUUGUGGUGAUAGUCUUGGAUAUCACCUUCAUCCCCUCAGAUGUUUGUAGAUAAUCCUUCAUUAUAAUUGGAAUGAAUACUGUAGAUAUAUGAGGUUGGACUAUCCUACGUUUUGCUUGUUUAUGGGUUUUGCAUCUUGAUGUCUUCCUGAAGUAUUCUUCAUGGGGAAUUUCCAAAUCAACCACAAUUUGAUAUCAAAGUAAUGUCAAGUGCUUCUGACCCACUGCAUUAAACGUGUGCUGAGCAGUUGGUGGUAGAAGACAUUAUUGUGAAGGCUGCUCACCACCAAUUUCAUCACUGUUGCUAACUCCAGCUCAUCUAAUCUCUGCAACAUCUGCUGCCAGCACCUUCUCUUGCCUCCUUUUGUGAACAUAGUUUUUUCUUCUGGUUAGAAAAUCAGUUCGAACUUCUUGAGUUUUGUGUUUUAAACUCUUCUCAACUGUUCCCAUGAUUGAUGGAUGCCCAGAGGCGACCUCUUUAUCUCCAGCAACAUAUUUGGCUGUUGGCCCGGUAGAGAGGUACUCCAGAAGCUUGCUGGUUCAUCAUGCUCUCACCUUUAACCACAACUAUUUAUCUGACUCCUUCCAUCUCCACAGCACUGUGUGAGGGAUCAGUGAUAAGAGACGGUGAAAGACAUGCGCAAAUGGAUAAAUAAUAAGCAGGAUAUGUAGAAUGACACAACUAUUGGUGAGUAAUUUAGGAGAUCCAAUAACUAAAAAAAAAAGAUUGGGGACAAGUUCAUGGAAAGAGUAAUCAACUAAGCCUUAACACAUAAAAUUGACAAAUAGAGAAGGCAUGCAAUCCAGUAGAAUAGAGUGCAAAAGAGGUAGAAGACUAAUCGUUUCAAGACAUGUUGAGCCACAACAGCAAUAACAUUGUGACAAAAAACGUCGGUGUAGAUUCAAUGACGGAUCAAGCUGUAUAGACUUUUUUUUACCCUCAUAUACUGAAUAGUCAUUUAAGGUAUACAGUGCCAACAUAAGAGAGAAAGAUAAACUUUUUUUAACACAAGUUGUAGGCCUUGGAAAGAAGUUUUCCAGUAACAAGAUAACACGAUAAUGUACUGUGGUUAUAAGCUCAAAGUGGUAUAUUUGAUUCAGUGUUCCCAGAACCACCAAAACCUUGGAACCAUUGUUUAGCUAAAGCUACUAGAACAACAGAAUAACCUACUUUGUGGCACUGUAAAGUGAAAUUAUACUACACACAAAUACUUGACAUAAAAUACAUUUCCAAACUCAAUUAUUAGGGAUAACAUAAGCACAAAAUGAUGCUUUGCAAACAUCAUGUAUCCUAUAACUGGAGAAAAAAAAUUAAUGACAUGAAGUGAAAUGACUGAGUUCUGAAACUACAUCUCAAUUUAAAUAGCAUAAGCAAUUUAGUAUACAACAUUCUUCAAAAUCAAUUGUUGAAGGUUAACUAUAAUCUACAUACAAAAACAACUUUGUCAACUUUUUAUAUGGAUUUUCCUUCUAAACAUAUUUACUUUAUGUGUAAAAUCAAAAAAUUUCCUGCGUUAAAGGCUAAGACUUGACUUUAUGAAUACACGCCCAAAAAUUGGUGGUGGCUGGUUUCUGUUUUUAUUUUGUAAGCUUAGUAUAAUGGUUGUCCAGAACUUGUAAGCAAUGACCUCAUUUCUAAGAGGACAAGAUGCAAAAGACCAUUUUUACAGAUUAACCAACUGGUUCCUUUAGGAAGAGUAAUAUUUCAACAUGUUCCUGUAUUUCAAGAAUAUAAAUAAUUAAAAAGAUGAAGAUAUGUGAAAUACACAAAGAAAAAAAAUAGAGAAAAUAGCAUUUAAAGCAAAUUAUCCUAGCUCCCUCAAUUAAUAUUUUAAAACCAUGACAAUCAGUUAUUAAUAUAAAUUGUUAAUUUUAUUUAAUACAACAUCAAUAUAAUUCAUACCAUCUUCUUCAACUAGGUGGUCUAUCAUUUUGGAGUUUCUUUCCACCUCUGGAGAAUUGCUCAGGAAAUCUGGCUAACAUACCAAAUAAACCAAAUGGAUUUAA
rnacentral:antisense_RNA from 1 species